UACAGAGGGUGCAAGCGUUAAUCGGAAUUACUGGGCGUAAAGGGCGCGUAGGUUGUUAUUUAAGUGAGCUGUGAAAGCCCCGGGCUUAACCUGGGAACUGCAGCUUAUACUGGGUAACUGGAGUGCAAUAGAGGGUAGUGGAAUUUCCGGUGUAGCGGUGAAAUGCGUAGAUAUCGGAAGGAACACCAGUGGCGAAGGCAGCCCCCUGGGUUAACACUGACGCUCAGGCACGAAAGCGUGGGGAGCAAACAGG
rnacentral:rRNA from 1 species